CGUAGGAUGGUGAAUCACUGGUGCCUAGUGUAGUCAGAGUAGAAGAACAGAGGUGCAUGUUUUUCAGCAGCAUGGAAAGGGCCAAAUCUCUACUCAAACACUAUAAUUUUUCAAACUGAUCCUGAUACUCACCCCUAACAUAAGCGACUUAUAAGAAGUCUUUUGACAACUUAGUAAAAUAAAGAUGAGUUUUAUGUUACGUAACACGUACCUGUUACUGUUAUAAAAUGCGGGGAACCACCGACGAUGGUGCCAGCCGAUGUGGACGCAGCGUCAGAAUCGACAAGGGUGUGCUGUCCUGAGUUGUAAAUUUGGACUGGAAGGAUCAGGACUGGUAACAACAGUGAUAAGCUGUUGCCCUCUUGCCGACUGGCUCUGUGCCACGCUUCCACUGC